GACGAACCGUGCAAACGUUAUUCGGAAUCACUGGGCAUAAAGGGCGCGUAGGCGGCUUUCUAAGUCAGGGGUGAAAUCCGGCAGCUCAACUGUCGCAGUGCCUUUGAUACUGGAGAGCUCGAGGGAGGUAGGGGUCUGUGGAACUUCCGGUGGAGCGGUGAAAUGCGUUGAUAUCGGGAGGAACAUCAGUGGCGAAGGCGGCCCUCUGGUCCAGUACUGACACUCAAGUGCGAAAGCGUGGGGAGCAAACAGG
rnacentral:rRNA from 1 species